CGAGGAGAGUGCCACAGAAAAUACGCUUUUGCAAAUAGAAAGGUAAGGGUGCAAGGUGCGGUAAGAGCGCACAGCAGUAUCGUGAGGUACUGGCUCGGUAAACCCCGGUUGGAAGCAAGGUCGCAGGGACUAGGGUUGGUCUUUUUCCCGUCCCGUUUUAGGAGAACCGCAAGAGGUGUUUGGUAACAGGCAUCCCAGAUAGAUAACUGCCCUCUGCCUAUGGUAGAGAACAGAACCCGGCUUAUGUCCAACUCUCUCU
rnacentral:RNase_P_RNA from 1 species